UACGGAGGAUGCAAGCGUUAUCCGGAAUUACUGGGCGUAAAGCGUACGUAGGCGGCUUUGUAAGUUAGAGGUGAAAACCCGGGGCUCAACUCCGGAAUUGCCUUUAAGACUGCAUCGCUUGAAUCAUGGAGAGGUGAGUGGAAUUCCGAGUGUAGAGGUGAAAUUCGUAGAUAUUCGGAAGAACACCAGUGGCGAAGGCGACUCACUGGACAUGUAUUGACGCUGAGGUACGAAAGCGUGGGGAGCAAACAGG
rnacentral:rRNA from 1 species